GUGCAAAACCUGAAUCUGGCAAGAGUCCCUGGAAUGUGUCCAGAGAAGGGCAACGAAACUGGUGAGGGGUCUGGAACACAACCUUUAUAAGGAUGUUUGACUUUCUUACUCAUUUGCUACUGGAGUGGAGAUGGAUUUGGUCACCUCCGAGAGCAAUGCCAACAUGAACGCAUGAAAAAGCAGACAAGGGAAAGCCAGUGGGCAUCAAGGCUAAUGUGAAGAACAGAUAAAAGCUGGGGAACCUGGUCCCUUGCUGCAGCAUGCAAACAACUCUUAUGGACUUUAAAGGCACUUACCCAAAUCCUAUGGCAGAAGAUUAGGAGCCAAUUGCUGUGCUUCUAUCGCAAAGAAAUGGUGCACACCAUCAUGAACAAGUUAAUUGGUUAGACCUGUCCAAGAAUCUGUGCACAGACACUUAAAUGCACAGUCAUAAUCUCAUACAAAAAUAGAGCUGGAAAAAGCUCAAUCUGGUCCACCUCUUUGGUUACAGAUGAAAUCUCUAAAUCUGUGCCAUUCUUGCUCAGCCUGUCCUGAAGGAUCCCCAAAAGUGGAAGCACCAUCAUCUCCUCAGUGAUUCAUCGCCUUAUAUUUAGAGAAUCAUUCCUAAAUUGCAACUUGAAUCUCGUGUGUUGUAAUUUAAGAUCAUCUUGUCUAAACCUGUGACCUACCACAGAGUAUUUAUUGUUCCAUUCCACUGUGCAACAGCCUUGUCAGAUGUCCUGAUAGUUUUUCUCAAGCUAAAUAACUCAGUCUUUCAAUCUUCCCUGUUAGACAGUAUUUCCUAGUGCUCUGUGCAUUGUGCUCUGGAAGUCUCUCCAAAUGAUUCAGUUUCUGCUGAAGUACUGUAUCCAAAUCAAGACAUGCAAUUUUAAUUAAACUUUACCAGGACAAGGUAGACAGUAAGGACUAUUCCACUUGUCUUGCUGUUAAAUUUUUGUUUAUGCACUCUUGCAUCUUAUUAACCAUCUUCAUAUCAGUUUGAUGUUACUGCUCAGGUUCAGCUUGUAGAUCCCUAUGCCCUCUUGAACUGUUUUUAAGCCAAUCAGCUGCUCAUUCUUCUAUUAUGCAGCUGCUAAUUCCUACUUAUCAUUAAAACUUCACACUUACUAAACAGCCACUAUAUGUUUUUCAGACUUUUCCUUCAAUUUGUGAAAAACAUUUUGAUUUCUAGUUCUGUCUCCAAAUGUGCGUGCAGUCUGUCUCUGCUUUGUGUCAGCAGCAAAUUUAAUAAGCAUAUUCUCUAUUGUCUGAAUUCCAGUAUCCAGAACAACUAUUGCAGAACCUCAGCUGAUACAUUCCAAUACCCUUAAAGAAAAGGGUAUAGGUAGUGCUUAGGGACAUGGUUUAGUGGUGGACUUGGUAGUGCCAGUUGUUGGUUAGACUUGAUGAUUUUAAAGGUCCUUUCCAGCAGAAAUGUUUCUAUCAUUCUCCGAUUCUGGGUAGAGUUUCCUGAUCCAAAUUUUAAUCCAUGACAAGUAGUUUCAUUCAGACUACAUUAUCUUAAAAACAAACAAACACACACAAACAACACUAACAAAGGCCUUUGUAAAGCAAAACCUGCCACUCCCAUUUUUUUCUGUAUGUACCAGAAAAAGCACAUUUCAAGACUAGUGAACUAAUCCCAUUUUAAGAAUGUUGGUCACUGCCAUACUGCCAUAGUUGUUUUUAGUUUAUAAAUAUUUAUAGCCAUCUGUAAUUACCUUCAGAAGACUCCUAUGGAUUUCCACAGAAAAUAUCUUUGCUAUCUCCCAGAAACCUGUGCCUAGCUAUUACUUCUGUUAGUCUUUUCUCUGGCACCUAAUUCUAAGAAAUCCCCCAGAAGUAACAUCAGCUAUUUAAUUCCUGUGUCUAUGGCUCCUCACAGAAUGUCUACAAGUGGGCUAACAUACAUUCACUUCAACAUUUCAGGCCUGUCUAAAAGAAAUAAAGGCCAAUCAUAUACAAGCAGCAGAUUUCAAAUAGAAAACAACUAAACGUCUUAUAGAAAGAACGUGGUCAAAUAAUGAAAAAUAAUUGUACUUGAGAAGAUCCGUUUGUUCUGCAGCAUACCAAAUUGUUCUUGAAAAUUUUGUUGAGCUUAACUUGUACAAUAUUGCAGAGAAAGUCUCAUGUUUCUUAAGAGGCAAUACAUGCAGAGGGGUGACCCACAAUUUCAUGUGUGACUUCUAUUCUGCAGUAGGCUUCAUGCAGUAGCUGGGAGUCAGUAACAUCAUGAGGCUUCAUGCAAAUAUGAAGUCCUGGCUGCCCAUUUCAGUUUAGAUUCAGGGAUUGUGUUUGAAACCUCAGGAGUAAUUCACUUGUGGAUCUGUUCUGGGGAAUGAUCUGCACUCUAUCACUUCAGUAGACUGUUCAUUUUUCAGAAGCACAUUGAGACAGUCCAACAGAAAAUUAUGUUAAAGACAUUCUGUGAGAUCUUGUAAUUUGUAUACAAGUCUGGGGAAGAGCACUGAAUCAAGAAAACUUAAUUUUGACAGUCCUGAUAUAUAGUCUAUUUUGGUUAACCAAAAGGAACACAUACAUUUUCUACAUUAGAGAAAUUUCCAUUAUUUUUCUCUCAGCCAUGAAAAUCGAUUUUGAUGUGAUUACACUCAGAGGCUUCUUGAUGUGCUUCUGACAGUACAAAAUGGAUAGAAACGGUGGGUGGUGUUGAAUUGAGGAUACUGUGGUUUGCUGAACUCUGUCACAAACCAAAAGUGCUAAGAUUAAAGCACACACCCUUAAUGUAUUGAGCAAAGAAGUGAGCCUUAGGAAAAAUGGUGAUUACAACAUUUUGAUGUUGAAGAUUGCAAAAGAUUCUGAGCUUUCAUCAUCUCCUGUUCACUGUAUUCACUGACAUUUGUAGGACUAGAAAGAGAUAACCAAAAUUCAGCAGAUAAAAGCAGACCUUAACAAUAAACAAUAGGGUAAUACCUAAACAUAGAUGGACAUAUGUAAAAAGAAUAGCCGUGGUCUUUGGAGCUGUACAAGUCUUACAGGCUUUCAUUUUGUUCAUGUUGAUUACAAUGGUCUAACAUGGCUUCGUGGACAUUUCUUCCCUUCCUGUGACCAUUUUAUUUCCAUUUUUCCAUAUUCUAAAUAAGUUGUCUUUUCUACAUUAAAUGUUUACUGUUAGCCUAUUAGUAAGGCUAACAGUAAACUCUUAUGCCUGGAGAAUUUUAAAUUCUUCAAAAAUACUAAUUCAGAAUAAUUAGAAAGUAAACAAAUGAGCAAUAGGUGAAUGCCGUAAAGCUUGAAGUAGUUUCAAAUUGCUUAGGUAUUCAAUUGUGAUCAUCUUCUGAAAAAUGUUUCAUUUCUGCAAUACUGGAGCUUACCAUCUAGCUAUUCAGGCACAGUUGUUCCAUGAAAUUUUAAUUAUGUUUUCUUCUAGCAUGACUAAGAUUUUGUUGCUUCUCUACCAACUGUUGUAAACUUUAGUGCAUAUUUUGAUAUCAGAUAAGUAAAAUUAGAAGAAAAACAAUGUUUUUGUAAAUUUGUCAAAAUAUAAGUUGCUAUCUCAGUUUUGCAUAGGAACUGUGUAUGACUGGCAGCUUUUAUGUUAUGUACUGGGACAAGGGAAUUUGGAAAAUUCAUGAAGUAUUGACUUUUUGCUGUAAAAGAAAUAUUAUGAUUACUGUUUGUCUUCAGUUAUUCUUUCUGUUCUAAGUGACAACAAGUAGCCAUAGGUAUAUAAAAAACAUUUUUGGAUAUUAAUUUCAUAUUUUAAAACCAUUAAAAUAGUUUAUUCUUGCAAGGACUUUAAAUAUAAGAACAAGCUGGUUUGGAAUUCAUUCACUCUCAGUAGCACUCUAAUGGAGUUAAAUAAAGAUGCAAUCAAUAGGGUUAUAUACAUAAUAAAUCAAGUCCUAUGGAAAUGCUAUAAA